UUCUUCUUUUUCUCCCGAAAUCCUUUCUUCCUCUCGUUCUCGCGUGCGACGGCGUCGGCGCUACUUGGUGCGAAGACGAAGCCGAACUUAGGGCUUCACUCCGGCGGCCGACGAGCACCCUUCUCCACGGGUUCUUCACAGAUCUGAGCUCCCCUCGGCAAGGAAGACGCGCGGACACAAGGAGAACUCUAAGACCGUGAGCUUCUCGUCGAACCCUAGCCACCCCUCCCUCUCGGUUGUAAGUCCAAGCAAUCAAGGAUAAAGGAAAAGCUAAGAUAUGAAGGGAGGCGACAGGGUGGUGGUGAUGAUGGAUGUGUGUGGUGACUGAACUAUGGAGAGGUAGUAGGUAGAUGAUAUGGAGUUACUUGGAGUAUGCUGCCAGUCGGUCCCACUUCCCACGUUUCAUCCGAGGAUCCUUAUCGGUUUUUAGUCUUUUACUAUUAGCAUUUUAUGUUUUGUGGAUUUGAUGUUGUUAUAUCAUACUAUGUCUUGAUACGUGUAUUGUGGACUUAUACCUGUGGUGUGUUUUGUGGACUUUCAAUUUUUGUGGGUUUCAUAUUCGU